CCUACGGGGGGCUGCAGUGAGGAAUAUUGGUCAAUGGGCGCAAGCCUGAACCAGCCAAGUCGCGUGAAGGAUGACUGCCCUACGGGUUGUAAACUUCUUUUAUAAGAGGAUAAAGUGAGGCACGUGUGCCUUUUUGUAUGUACUUUAUGAAUAAGGAUCGGCUAACUCCGUGCCAGCAGCCGCGGUAAUACGGAGGAUCCGAGCGUUAUCCGGAUUUAUUGGGUUUAAAGGGUGCGUAGAUGGGUUGUUAAGUCAGUUGUGAAAGUUUGCGGCUCAACCGUAAAAUUGCAAUUGAUACUGGCAGGCUUGAGAACAGUUGAGGUAGGCGGAAUGCGUGGUGUAGCGGUGAAAUGCUUAGAUAUCACGAAGAACUCCGAUUGCGAAGGCAGCCUACCAAACUGCCACUGACAUUGAUGCUCGAAAGCGUGGGUAUCAAACAGGAUUAGAUACCCCAGUAGUC
rnacentral:rRNA from 1 species